AACGAACGCCGGCGGCGUGCCUAACACAUGCAAGUCGAACGUGAUUGGAAGCGUGCUUCCAUGAAAGUGGCGCACGGGUGAGUAAUGCGUAGAUAAUCUGCCUGAUGGUCUGGGAUAACACUUCGAAAGGGGUGCUAAUACCGGAUAAGCCCACGGGGUCUUCGGACUUUGCGGGAAAAGGGGGGGACCUUCGGGCCUUCCGUCAUCAGAUGAGUCUACGUACCAUUAGCUAGUUGGUAGGGUAAAGGCCUACCAAGGCGACGAUGGUUAGCUGGUCUGAGAGGAUGAUCAGCCACACUGGAACUGAGACACGGUCCAGACUCCUACGGGAGGCAGCAGUGGGGAAUUUUGCGCAAUGGGGGAAACCCUGACGCAGCAACGCCGCGUGAGUGAUGAAGGCCCUUGGGUCAUAAAGCUCUGUCAGAGGGAAAGAAAUGUGGGCGGCUAAUAUCCGUUCCACUUGACGGUACCCUCAAAGGAAGCACCGGCUAACUCCGUGCCAGCCGCCGCGGUAACAC
rnacentral:rRNA from 1 species